rnacentral:rRNA from 1 species
UACGUAGGGGGCAAGCGUUAUCCGGAUCUACUGGGUGUAAAGGGAGCGUAGACGGCGGCGCAAGCCAGAUGUGAAAGCCCGGGGCUCAACCCCGGGACUGCAUUUGGAACUGUGCUGCUAGAGUGUCGGAGAGGCAGGCGGAAUUCCUAGUGUAGCGGUGAAAUGCGUAGAUAUUAGGAGGAACACCAGUGGCGAAGGCGGCCUGCUGGACGAUGACUGACGUUGAGGCUCGAAAGCGUGGGGAGCAAACAGG